GUAUAAGGAAUUCAGAUUGAAUGUUUUUGAUGGAGGAUUAAACUUUGACAUUUUCUUUUCUUUCAGGUUAGGUGCCAGCAUGAUUUGGCAGUAAGACCUCACUACAUCGCCAAGCACGAGUGGACCAGCAAGGGUGUUAGUGACCAAGGGAUCAUGGGUCUUUAGUGUUCUACUAAAGAAAGACCAAAUAAUGACUGAAUUUAUAAAA